CAAACCUGGGUAAGUGAGAACUGGAUAAGUGAGAAAACUCUAUAAGUGAGAGUAAUAGCCAGGACCCGUCAUUUUAAGCACCCAAAACCUCUAUUAGCGAGAAACAGACACCUCUGUAAGAGAGAGUCGUUUUUCCCUCAUGGACCUCCGUAAGUGAGACUGCUACUUAUCUAUACCUCUAUAAGCGACAGUCAAGCUUUAUUUAUUUAUAUUAUUUAGAGGGAACAAAUGACAAAGCAAAUUACAAAUUUAACAUCUGCUAUUUUAUGACUCAUUCUUAUAUUCGUGGAACUUCCUACCGUUGUUUUUGUAUUGUUUUCUCGUCAAUAUUGAACCUAUUCUAUUUCGUGCUUCGAUCAACAAUAGUAACUAGAUUUCGGGUCGGUGCAUAAAAUCCGUCUCGUCAAAUAACAGCGCACUUGAAAUGUGAGCUCUUAUUUUGUUUAGUUCACUUCAAACACAGCCAAUGUCAACCCGUCUCACAAUACCGCAGUGUGUAUUCAAAAGUUGCAAAAAUAAGGCCCGAAAAAGCAAUUUAACGGCCGGAAUAUCUUACUUUCGCUUUCCUAGCAAUCACAUGUACAAAAUGGAUCUCGAUUGUCGCCAGAGAAACAAGAGAUGACUUUUAUAAGCCAGCUAAGAUCUCCCCUUAUUGACACUGGACAUCUUUGCCUUCCGUGCUCACGGCUACUGAAACGUGGCCGAAACAUUGUAAUAAAAAUACCACGCUUGAAACCGUUUAAA